GUUAGGGGAGAGAGUAGACACCCUGGGAGUGGCCUGACAAGUGUCCUGUUCUUUCCCUCUCUGAUGCACACCCUGGAGGAUAUGAACCAUUGCGUGGUGUGUGUGCACAGGCUUCUCCAGGUAGCUGUUACCUUCUGAUGAACUAAAAAACUGGUGUGAUUCAGCAACCAACACAGAGCUAACACUGACAUGGAUCACCUGGCCCUGGUAGAAGAGCAAAACUGCAGAAACUAUCUGGCCAUAGACAUCUCCUGACCCAGUGCCUGAAGAGAUGUACACGUCAAAACAAAACAAAACACACCACUAAUAAAACAUCUGGACUCCUGUAUGUCAACUGGUCUUACAGAAGUGGUAUUGAUCUUAUGUGCCUCAGUAUGCAAUAUCACCUCUGAUGGAGAGAGAAGGUUGCUCACGGACAACAACCUUAACACCUCACACAGGUACAUGUGCUGAAGUACUAUAAGACAGCUAUCUGAAAGAUCUGUGCAUGUGAGUUAUGGUUGGUGUCAACUAAUGCAGUCAUACCUCCAAUGCAGCAGGGAUGAUGGGCAGACAGAGAAGGGGGAUCAUGCCUGGUACUGGAGGGAUCCACAGAUAUGUGUGUACCUAGAGAGUGAUAUACAUGUGCGUGCUUGUACUAGUGAACUCCUUUUUCUACCAUCAAGAGGAGUACAGCCAGACAUGGCUGUCUGUGUUUGUGUUUUACAUGAAUUGCGUAUCAAGUGCUGUCGAAGGCUCUGCUGUGGCUGGGGCAGCCUGUAUGACUGCUUGUCUCUAUGUUCUGUCUCUGCAUUUCUCUGGGUUAUUUGUUCAGCUUUGCUACUGGUUGAAACUGUAAAAGGGGAAAGUAACAACAGCUUCCCCCAUCAGAGAACCCGGGCACUGGUUUGGGUCCCUACAGCUGUGCAGAGUGAUCCUGGGCUGGAGGAGGUGGGCGCAGUAUUUGCUCUUCGCCUUACCUAACAUUCACUAACCAACACGGAAAAUUCUAGCUUGCUUAGAUAAUGUACAUAAAAUAUAUUGAUUCAUUAUACAUAUGCAAUCUGAACAUAGAAGAGCACACUGAGGCAAAAACAAUUUGUUAUAGAAUUAAUUUUAUUAAGUUUUUCACUCACUAAGUGCAGCAGCACUUAGAGCAAUGGACUGUGCUAUAAAGUUUGGUUUAGAUUUUUAUAUUUGAAAUUAUUCUUGUUUCUUCAAGACUUCUUUUUAUAUUACAGAAUGUAUCACUUUCCUCUUAAAAAUAAGCAAGGGCAUUUGAAUGCAGAUGCCUGACUUACUAUUUUCCUGGAUAAUUUUAGACUCCUUAAGAACUUAUCCAAAUAUUAGAAUACUACUGCAUUUUUGAAGAGUUGUUCCUUCAUAAGAAGAAUGUUUAUUUGUUUGCAUAUUAUAUAGAUACACACUAAUAGUGAUACAUGCUGGGACAAAAUUGGGGCUGUUCUGUUAAAAUUCAUUGAUACUUGAUAUUAACAUUGUUACUGGGAUCUCUUAACAUGUAAUUUUAGUGGGCUAAAUCACCUCUACUGAAGGCAGUAAAAUACAGAGAAAGCUAUGAUUCAUUCUAACACACAGUGUUAUAAGCCAUGGCACUGACUCUGUUUUCAGAUGAACCUAUCAGUUAUAUUCAGGCAGCCAUCCUGGCUAAAAAACUGCAAAAUAAAAGAGCAAAGACUGAAGAAAAAAUGUGUCCCAAUAUUAGGUUAGACGGACAGUAGAAAAUUGGGUGUGACUCAAAGACCCAGGAGAGAAGAGAUUACCGAGAAAGCUGUGCUCAGAAAAGCAGAGCAGUAAGCUGACACCAAAAGGGCAGAUUCACCCUCUUACAUCUAGUUCCUCAACAUCAGUUCCUUCUCUUGUCCCAACACUGCUGCUCAUCUACAAAUACAGUACACCAAUUCAGAGGAAGA
ensembl:lncRNA